CCAGGUGGUGUACCUAUACAGGUGACGUAGGCUUGGUUAUGACAACAUGAAGACCAGGUGUUUUACCUAUACAGGUGACGUAGGCUUGGUUAUGACAACAUGAAGACCAGGUGUUGUACCUAUACAGGUGACGUAGGCUUGGUUAUGACAACAUGGAGACCAGGUGUUGUACCUAUACAGGUGACGUAGGCUUGGUUAUGACAACAUGAGGACCAGGUGGUGUACCUAUACAGGUGAUGUAGGCUUGGUUAUUACAACAUGAAGACCAGGUGUUGUACCUAUACAGGUGAUGUAGGCUUGGUUAUGACAACAUGAAGACCAGGUGUUGUACCUAUACAGGUGAUGUAGGCUUGGUUAUGACAACAUGGAGACCAGGUGUUGUACCUAUACAGGUGAUGUAGGCUUGGUUAUGACAACAUGGAGACCAGGUGUUGUACCUAUACAGGUGAUGUAGGCUUGGUUAUGACAACAUGAAGACCAGGUGUUGUACCUAUACAGGUGAUGUAGGCUUGGUUAUGACAACAUGAAGACCAGGUGUUGUACCUAUACAGGUGAUGUAGGCUUGGUUAUUACAACAUGAAGACCAGGUGUUGUACCUAUACAGGUGAUGUAGGCUUGGUUAUGACAACAUGAAGACCAGGUGUUGUACCUAUACAGGUGAUGUAGGCUUGGUUAUUACAACAUGAAGACCAGGUGGUGUACCUAUACAGGUGAUGUAGGCUUGGUUAUGACAACAUGAAGACCAGGUGGUGUACCUAUACAGGUGAUGUAGGCUUGGUUAUUACAACAUGAAGACCAGGUGUUGUACCUAUACAGAGGCUUGGUUAUGACAACAUGAAGACCAGGUGUUUUACCUAUACAGGUGAUGUAGGCUUGGUUAUGACAACAUGAAGACCAGGUGUUGUACCUAUACAGAGGCUUGGUUAUGACAACAUGAAGACCAGGUGUUUUACCUAUACAGGUGACGUAGGCUUGGUUAUGACAACAUGGAGACCAGGUGUUUUACCUAUACAGGUGAUGUAGGCUUGGUUAUGACAACAUGAAGACCAGGUGGUGUACCUAUACAGGUGAUGUAGGCUUGGUUAUGACAACAUGAAGACCAGGUGUUGUACCUAUACAGGUGAUGUAGGCUUGGUUAUGACAACAUGAAGACCAGGUGUUGUACCUAUACAGGUGAUUUAGGCUUGGUUAUGACAACAUGAGGACCAGGUGAUGUAGGCUUGGUUAUGACAACAUGAGGACCAGGUGAUGUAGGCUUGGUUAUGACAACAUGGAGACCAGGUGUUGUACCUAUACAGGUGAUGUAGGCUUGGUUAUGACAACAUGAAGACCAGGUGGUGUACCUAUACAGGUGAUGUAGGCUUGGUUAUUACAACAUGAAGACCAGGUGUUGUACCUAUACAGGUGAUGUAGGCUUGGUUAUGACAACAUGAAGACCAGGUGUUGUACCUAUACAGGUGAUGUAGGCUUGGUUAUGACAACAUGAAGACCAGGUGGUGUACCUAUACAGGUGAUGUAGGCUUGGUUAUUACAACAUGAAGACCAGGUGUUGUACCUAUACAGAGGCUUGGUUAUGACAACAUGAAGACCAGGUGUUGUACCUAUACAGGUGAUGUAGGCUUGGUUAUGACAACAUGAAGACCAGGUGUUGUACCUAUACAGGUGAUGUAGGCUUGGUUAUGACAACAUGAGGACCAGGUGAUGUAGGCUUGGUUAUGACAACAUGAGGACCAGGUGAUGUAGGCUUGGUUAUGACAACAUGGAGACCAGGUGGUGUACCUAUACAGGUGAUGUAGGCUUGGUUAUGACAACAUGAAGACCAGGUGUUUUACCUAUACAGGUGAUGUAGGCUUGGUUAUGACAACAUGAAGACCAGGUGGUGUACCUAUACAGGUGAUGUAGGCUUGGUUAUGACAACAUGAAGACCAGGUGUUUUACCUAUACAGGUGAUGUAGGCUUGGUUAUGACAACAUGAAGACCAGGUGUUGUACCUAUACAGAGGCUUGGUUAUGACAACAUGAAGACCAGGUGGUGUACCUAUACAGAGGCUUGGUUAUGACAACAUGGAGACCAGGUGGUGUACCUAUACAGGUGACGUAGGCUUGGUUAUGACAACAUGAAGACCAGGUGGUGUACCUAUACAGGUGACGUAGGCUUGGUUAUGACAACAUGAAGACCAGGUGUUGUACCUAUACAGGUGACG